rnacentral:rRNA from 1 species
GACGUAGGGCGCGAGCGUUGUCCGGAUUUAUUGGGCGUAAAGAGCUCGUAGGCGGCUUGUCGCGUCGACUGUGAAAACCCGCGGCUCAACCGCGGGCCUGCAGCCGAUACGGGCAGGCUAGAGUUCGGUAGGGGAGACUGGAAUUCCUGGUGUAGCGGUGAAAUGCGCAGAUAUCAGGAGGAACACCGAUGGCGAAGGCAGGUCUCUGGGCCACUACUGACGCUGAGAAGCGAAAGCAUGGGG